UUCGUGGCAGCUCCAUCGCACCGCUCCUGCCAAGCCACCGCCAAGUCCUGCCGCCGAUCGGAACCCUAGCCACCGCCGUUGAAGAUGCCACCACCGCCACUGCUGUCAAUUGGGAUCAAAAUUGUUGCUGUGUUCCCAGAGCUGUCAUGGAAGUGGUUGAUUCGGUCCCAAUUCCUCCAUUGUAGAGACUAACCAUUAUGGUGGUGUUGAGGCCAUCAGGAAACUGUUAGAGCUGCUGUUGACAAGUUUGAUAUUGCUACCUCAAUUCUGGGUUGUGUUCACUUUUGAUACCCAUUCAAUUUGGAUUUUCUAUUCUGCUGUAAUUACCAUUACCGUCGUGGAUUUAUUGCCACUGCUGCCAUGAAACGAAAAGGGAAGGGGAUCGUCGCGUUUGAUUUCCUUGGAUUUCGACACUUUGAGGUAGGGGUUUGUUUCAAAGUUAACAUAUUUUGGGGUUGAAUACCUGAUGAGUUUAGUGGAUUAAUGCAAGUGAAUUAAUUUCUGUGCUGAAAAUGACUUUCUGCUGUGAUUGAAAUUGUGGCUGAAUUGAUUAUUGAUUUAUCAUUUUUUUUAGUUUCUGGCAAAAAUAAAAUGAUUGAACAGGUUGAUUUUGAACCUUGGUUUGAAAAUGAUUUUUAUUGAUUAUGCAAAAAAUGGUUUUGGAAAUGUUAAUUUGAAAUGUUGGUUUUGAUUGAGCCGAAGUUGAA